AGCCAAACCAGAGAAGCCAGAGGGGGAGAGCGGGGGACCUGGAGUCUGGCUGAUACAUCGCAGUCCAGUUAUUCAAAGGGUCAUCAGGGAGCAAAUGAAUCAUUAACUCCCCUCUUCUUGUGGCUAGAUAUGGAAAUGAAGAAGGAAGGGCGCGGGGAUGAGAACGAACGCUGCCCAGUGUUUCAAGAAAAGCUUCCCAAGACAGGCGCCUGUUUUGCUGAGAGCGAGGAAAUCGUUCUUAGGGAAAGCUGUGUUGUGCUUCGCUGCAGUUUGUGUGCAGAGAGUCGAUCCACAGCAAACGCAAGCCAGUCUGCUCCAGGGACCACCCCUCCAGAGAAACUGAGAGUCUACACCAUCAGCGACCUGGGCAGGUUGGAGGCACACAGAGAUAGGGGACCCAAAUAAGAUCAAGCUGAGCGGCCAAGGUCUAUAGAGGACUCUCUUGCAAGAUUCCCUAAAGCACUCCAUGCAAGAGGAACACCAAGAAGUUCUAGGUUUUGCUCUGUUUUAUGAAGCCUUGGGAUGCUCAGUGAAACUAAAGGAAACAACACGAGGAGCCAUUUGAUCCUGUAGGCUUGGAACACAACAGCGUGUGUCUUCAUUAGCAUUCAUCUCUUCAAUUCCCUCUCCAGCCCUUGGCACCAGCGUUGUGCUGUGGAAGAAACAGCUUCCCAGAUUGCUCUGAGGGUAGCUAAUCCUCUCUGAUUAGGGAGGUGUGAGCGAGGGGCGCAAGCCAAGAUAAGAAGUGGGAGGGUCUACGAGGUGUAAAUUCAAGUCCGAAUCCGGAUUAGGUAAACCACUACUGUGCUUUCAUAUGGUUUUCUAGAUCAUUAGGAAACUCCAACAAAAUAAAGCUAGAAUAUAGCGGCGGGGAUUUAACCUAAAGGAAAACUGAGUGAUUUUUCUAGGUUGUAGCCUUUUAGCUGAAGAAUAAAGUAUACAUUUUUCUUGAACAGAUGGGUGCAACUGUAAGAAUAAAUUAUUCCCAGCCUUUAACAUCAAGUAAGAGAGUUUUAAUCGAUAUGAUCCUUAAUAAGAAAAGAAAAGAAAAAAACAGACAGUGGAAGCAGGGAGAUGGAUUCAAGCCUAACAACCCUGGUUCAAUCCCUGGCACCCACAUAAUGGAAAGAGUCAUCUUCUCAUCUUCUGAUUUCACAUGUGUAUCCUGACAUAUGUGUCCCCCUCCUAAAUAAAAGUUAAAAAUUA